GAUGAACGCUAGCUACAGGCUUAACACAUGCAAGUCGAGGGGAAACGAUGAGAGAGCUUGCUCUCUUAGGCGUCGACCGGCGCACGGGUGAGUAACGCGUAUCCAACCUACCCAUUACAGGGGGAUAACCUUGCGAACGUAAGACUAAUACCCCAUGGCAUUUUAUGGUGGCAUCAUUAUAGGAUUAAAGAUUUAUUGGUAAUGGAUGGGGAUGCGUCUGAUUAGCUUGUUGGCGGGGUAACGGCCCACCAAGGCAACGAUCAGGAGGGGUUCUGAGAGGAAGGUCCCCCACAUUGGAACUGAGGCACGGUCCACACUCCUACGGGAGGCAGCAGUAAGGAAUAUUGGGCAAUGGGCGAGGGCUUGAACCAGCCAAGUAGCGUGCAGGAUGACGGCCCUAUGGGUUGUAAACUGCUUUUAUAGAAGAAUAAAGUGAGCUACGUGUAGUUUAUUGCAUGUACCCUAUGAAUAAGGACCGGCUAAUUCCGUG
rnacentral:rRNA from 1 species